AUACGUAGGGGGCGAGCGUUGUCCGGAAUGAUUGGGCGUAAAGGGCGCGUAGGCGGCGCGGUAAGUCUGGAGUGAAAGUCCUGCUUUCAAGGUGGGAAUUGCUUUGGAUACUGCCGCGCUUGAGUGCAGGAGAGGUUAUCGGAAUUCCCGGUGUAGCGGUGAAAUGCGUAGAGAUUGGGAGGAACACCAGUGGCGAAGGCGACUUACUGGACUGUAACUGACGCUUAGGCGCGAAAGUGUGGGGAGCAAACAGGAUUAGAUACCCUGGUAGUCCACACUGUAAACGAUGAAUGCUAGGUGUAGGGGGUAUCGACCCCUUCUGUGCCGCAGUCAACACAAUAAGCAUUCCGCCUGGGGAGUACGGCCGCAAGGUUGAAACUCAAAUGAAUUGGCGGGG
rnacentral:rRNA from 1 species